rnacentral:rRNA from 1 species
CCUACGGGAGGCAGCAGUGAGGAAUAUUGGUCAUUGGACGAGAGUCUGAACCAGCCAAGUCGCGUGAAGGAUGACUGCCCUAUGGGUUGUAAACUUCGUUUAUAAAGGAAUAAAACGAGGCACGUGUGCCUUUUUGCAUGUACUUUAUGAAUAAGGAUCGGCUAACUCCGUGCCAGCAGCCGCGGUAAUACGGAGGAUCCGAGCGUUAUCCGGAUUUAUUGGGGUUAAAGGGAGCGUAGGUGGGUUGUUAAGUCAGUUGUGAAAGUUUGCGGCUCAACCGUAAAAUUGCAAUUGAUACUGGCUGUCUUGAGUACAGUUGAGGUAGGCGGAAUUCGUGGUGUAGCGGUGAAAUGCUUAGAUAUCACGAAGAACCCCGAUUGCGAAGGCAGCUUACUAAACUGUAACUGACGUUGAUGCUCGAAAGUGUGGGUAUCAAACAGGAUUAGAUACCCCAGUAGUC